rnacentral:tRNA from 1 species
GGGGAUUUAGCUCAGUGGUAGAGCACUUGCCUAGCAAGCGCAAGGCCCUGGGUUCGAUCCCCAGCUCCU